rnacentral:rRNA from 1 species
AGCUCCAAUAGCGUAUAUUAAAGUUGUUGCGGUUAAAAAGCUCGUAGUUGGAUUUCUGCCUUGGUUGCGUGGUCCGCCUUCUCGGGCGUGUAUCUACGCGUGCCUUGGCAUCCUCUUGAAGAACGUUCUCGCGCUUUACUGCGUGGUACGGUAUUCAAGACUUUUACUUUGAGGAAAUUAGAGUGUUCACGGCAGGCAAUCGCUUUGAAUACAUUAGCAUGGAAUAAUCUUAUAGGACCUCGGUUCUAUUUUGUUGGUUUCUAGAGCUGAGGUAAUGAUUAAUAGGGAUAAUUGGGGGUCUUUGUAUUGCAACGUCAGAGGUGAAAUUCUUGGAUUGUUGCACGACAAACUACUGCGAAAGCAUUGACCAAGGAUGUUUUCA